rnacentral:rRNA from 1 species
GAUGAACGCUGGCGGCGUGCCUAAUACAUGCAAGUCGAGCGAACAGAUGAGGAGCUUGCUCCUCUGACGUUAGCGGCGGACGGGUGAGUAACACGUGGAUAACCUACCUAUAAGACUGGGAUAACUUCGGGAAACCGGAGCUAAUACCGGAUAAUAUAUUGAACCGCAUGGUUCAAUAGUGAAAGACGGUUUUGCUGUCACUUAUAGAUGGAUCCGCGCCGCAUUAGCUAGUUGGUAAGGUAACGGCUUACCAAGGCAACGAUGCGUAGCCGACCUGAGAGCGUGAUCGGCCACACUGGAACUGAGACACGGUCCAGACUCCUACGGGAGGCAGCAGUAGGGAAUCUUCCGCAAUGGGCGAAAGCCUGACGGUGCAACGCCGCGUGAGUGAUGAAGGUCUUCGGAUCGUAAAACUCUGUUAUUAGGGAAGAACAAAUGUGUAAGUAACUAUGCACGUCUUGACGGUACCUAAUCAGAAAGCCACGGCUAACUACGUG